rnacentral:misc_RNA from 1 species
AACGCACGAGACCUGCGGACCUGCGGAAGGAUCAUUAAUGAGAAGCUGCCCCUCGUGGGUAGACCUCCCACCCUCUGUGAACUUACCUUUGUUGCUUUGGCAGGCCCGUCCUCUGGACCGCCGGCUUCGGCUGGCCCGUGCCUGCCAGAGGAUUCCAAACCCUGUCUGUCAGUGUUGCCUGAGUCUAUAUGAAAUCGUUAAAACUUUCAACAAUGGAUCUCUAGAUCGGAAGAGCACACG